rnacentral:rRNA from 1 species
CGUGCGGUUCUAUUUUGUUGGUUUCUAGAGUCGCCGUAAUGAUUAAUAGGGAUAGUUGGGGGCAUUUGUAUUCAGUUGCUAGAGGUGAAAUUCUUGGAUUUACUGAAGACAAACUACUGCGAAAGCAUUUGCCAAGGAUGUUUUCAUUAAUCAGGAACGAAAGUUAGGGGAUCGAAGACGAUCAGAUACCGUCGUAGUCUUAACCAUAAACUAUGCCGACUAGGGAUCGGACGGUGUUAUUUUUUGACCCGUUCGGCACCUUACGAGAAAUCAAAGUGCUUGGGCUCCAGGGGGAGUAUGGUCGCAAGGCUGAAACUUAAAGAAAUUGACGGAAGGGCACCACCAGGGGUGGAGCCUGCGGCUUAAUUUGACUCAACACGG